rnacentral:sRNA from 1 species
UAAGUUUUUAAGUCAAUUGUCCUAAAACACCAAUCAUGUCGUUGUAGUAUUUUAGGUUGUCAAUCCAAAUGGGUGUGAUGCUAACAAUCAAGAUGUGAUCAGAAGUCACUAAGUCAAGCCAAGCAAUAACAGGUUUUGGUGUGUUCUACCAGUCCUAAGUGAACAUGCAGAAAACAGAAAAUCAAACAGAAACAGUAGAACACUCGACCAACACAGCUCUUUGCAGAGCACUGAGUGAGGUCGAGUGACAAGUCGAGUAACAGACAGAAAAUGAAACAGAGGUACUCGAUUGCACAGUCUGUUGCCAGACCACUGGGUGGUCGAGUACCAGGUCGAGUAACAGUAAGAAUUGCAGAAACUAAGCAACAGGUGACAGGAUGCAGUAAACAGCAGUAGAGUAAACAAUAAAAUCAAUCAGAUAAAGAAUUCCUAAGGAUGGGGUAAUUGAGUAGUUUCGUUUCCUCAGUUUACAGGUGAUUGACAUGCUCAAUAAAUUAACCCUAGACAACGAGUUCAUUAACCAAAUCUAAGUGCCACCGCAACAGAGACUCUCAAGCUAACCUAGUCCCAGACUCAAUCACCAUUGACGAGAGCUAACCUAACAGGCAUUACGAAGCCAAAACGCUCCCUGCAACCAAUACCUUGGUACAGGGUCACGAAUCUCUGGAAUUAGUGGUUCAGACAUUUCAUCGAACACCUUUUGGGCCCGGAAAUGUCUGGGCUCAAAUUCCAGUUGAUCAGAAAGCAAUAGGCAUUAAGAACAACUAAUCCAGAAGGGAUCUAUCAAUCAAUACUCAAUCACCUAGCAUACUGAGAAUUCUACAUUACUCUAACCCAUCCUUAGAAACCUAUUCACUACUCAGACAUCAUAACAGAAAGCAUAAACGUUAAACAGGUUGAAGACAUGAUAACAGCAGUGUAACAGCAGUAUGAUAACAGAAUGAACAAUAGUAAACGAAAAUCAAGAACAGAAACUGAAUACUGAAUAGAUAAAGAGAAAUCCGGAUUACAAAAAGUCUAGAACAAAAGGGCUGCGGAAAUAAAACUAGAUUAAAAACUUCUUCCUUUU